rnacentral:hammerhead_ribozyme from 1 species
AUUCAGCUGAAGAGUUCUAACCAGGACGAGACGCGUGCCCUGGAU